AUCGCUUCUCAGCCUUUGGGCUAAGAUCACGUGCAGUAUCUGUUCCUAUCAGCUUAACUCCAUUUUAGGUCACUUUUUCCCCAGAAUUUUAGUACAUUUACAUUUAUUAUAGUGACAAAUAUGUCUGUGCUUGUUCUAGCAGUCUUAUUUCAUGUUCCCGAAACUUCAUUUUUACUCAGGUCUCCACUUCUC